AUGCACCUCGGAUCUCUCAUCCUCACGGCCUUCCUGGGGCAACUGCUGGGCACCAUGGGACAGACCACUGUCACCCAGCAAGAAGCACAAGUCACAGUGAAGCAGGGAGACACCUUCCAGACAACCUGCACAUACCAGACUUCCAACUUUAAUGGCUUGGUCUGGUACCAGCAGAGGAAAGGCCAAGGUCCCCAGCUGGUCUCCUAUCAGGCAACUGCUGGCCGCAAGCCCAGUGGCCGUCUCACCACCGUGCUGAACACCACCGAGAAAUACAGCCUCCUGCAGCUGGAGGAAGUCGGGCUCUCUGACAGUGCCUUGUACCUCUGUGCAUUGGACCAGGUUUACAAAGCUGGAGAGGUGGAAAACCCACCAAGCAGAGGGGACAAGUGGGAGAAUGAGGAUGAGAAGGGCUAUCCAGAGCAGGAGGAAUCCCCUUCUGCACAGGACUGUGAGCUGCUGGCCUCUCAGAGCCUCCAGCAGCACUGGGGAGCACUCUCCAAGGGAAAGCAGUGA